rnacentral:lncRNA from 1 species
UGCGUCUCGGGACAAAUUCCUUUCCCUCUAUCAAUACGUUUUAUUUUUUCACGGAGGGGAGGGGACUCAUUUUGCCAAGAAUUUAUUGUGCAUCGUUUCUGAUUCAGCAGGUCUACAGUCGAAACCAGGAAUUAGCAGCUUUAACAAGUGCCACAAGUGAUCGGAUACCGGUGGUCCCAGGACCACACCUCGAGAAAGCCCCGCAGAGAGAUGAGUGCAUGGAAAGAGCCAACUGAGAGGUGAAGCUUAAACAAAUGUGAGGCAGAAAAAUCUAUUAAUGAGGCACUAAUGAGAAGAUGGAAUCAAACUCCCUGCAAAUACACACACACACACACGUGGGAAACUUCUGGCUUUUUUUUUUUUUUAAAGAAAACCCUGAGGAGCAAGCUAACAAAAUAUCAAUAAAGUUGGAGAAACUGGGGCCGGGCGAGGUGGCUCAUGCCUGUAAUCCCAGCACUUUGGGAGGCCAAGGCGGGUGGAUCAUUUGAGGUCAGGGGUUUGAG